rnacentral:rRNA from 1 species
CGAUGGCUGUCGUCAGGCUCGUGUCGUGAGAUGUUGGUUAAGUCCCGCAACGAGCGCAACCCUUGUCACUAGUUGCCAUCAUUUGGUUGGGCACUCUAGUGAGACUGCCGGUGACAAACCGGAGGAAGGUGGGGAUGACGUCAAGUCCUCAUGGCCCUUAUGGGUAGGGCUUCACACGUCAUACAAUGGUCGGUACAGAGGGUUGCCAAGCCGCGAGGUGGAGCCAAUCCCUUAAAGCCGAUCGUAGUCCGGAUCGUAGUCUGCAACUCGACUACGUGAAGUCGGAAUCGCUAGUAAUCGCAGAUCAGCAUGCUGCGGUGAAUACGUUCCCGGGUCUU